rnacentral:rRNA from 1 species
UACGUAGGGGGCUAGCGUUGUCCGGAAUCAUUGGGCGUAAAGCGCGUGUAGGCGGCCCGGUAAGUCCGCUGUGAAAGUCGGGGGCUCAACCCUCGAAAGCCGGUGGAUACUGUCGGGCUCGAGUGCGGAAGAGGCGAGUGGAAUUCCUGGUGUAGCGGUGAAAUGCGCAGAUAUCAGGGGGAACACCGAUGGCGAAGGCAGGUCUCUGGGCCACUACUGACGCUGAGAAGCGAAAGCAUGGGGAGCGAACAGG